UGCGCUGAAGAACUGGCAAUGGUAAUGAGAAGGAGGGGAAGGACUGAUGGAAGUGUUUUAGCCCAUAGAACAAUCACCAUGACAACGGGAGCCUGAAUCAUCACUAUGGAGACACAGUGCUCGAAAUUAUGACUGGAGGGAUACUGUGACUCUGUUGGUGAGGAUUUUGAAAAAGGUAAACAGGGUCUGAAAAUCCCACCUUUGGACGGCCAAGGUGUGUGAGUCCAAAGGCCAGGGCUUCCCAGGGGCUUCUUCUUCUAGUAGACCGGAAUGCGCGCGCGUCAGCUGGCCAGCAGAGCCCCGCCGGUGGCCAGUGGUAUCAUCGUGGCCCGAAAGGCUCUGGCUGGGAUGCAGAGACCCGCGGUUCUCACUGGCAUCCCCGGCGUCCUGGAGGAAAGGUGAGGGCGCAUCACCCCCUGGCGGCCGCGGGGCGCACACCAGGCGGGCGGAGCGGUGCUGCGCGCCCGGGCGUCUCUUCUUCCCUUAGGGAAGGUAGGAUGCACUGCCACCGAGACUUGUCGCUCGCCGGGGAGACCAGCCCUGACUGUCCGCUUCUCUUCUCGGGACACAGCCGCUCUGGUGCUGGACGCAGCACCGUGGUGCUGCCUUUGGAAAGAUGCACCGACCCAAAGCCAACUCCCCACUCCGGCUUCCUGCAGGAGGAGGGGAUUUAAAGCCAAGGGGGGGGGCGGCGCGGGGACCCUGAUCUCUCCGCCAGCCGCUCGGGGGCGACAGCACGCAAAGUCCUUCGCGCGGGCACGCCUGGGCAGGUGCCUGCGUCGCGGCGCACCAGCAGGGCCAGGACCGACUCGGGCAGACCUGCUGGCCUGGCGAAAGGUUGCAUCGCCGGGAACUUGCCCGCUGUUGCUUCCGGCCCACGGGCCGCCCCGCCACUGUUAAGCUUCUUGGAAGAAGCAGGACAGAGACCAGCCCCGAGAUGGGGGGAUCUGCUUUCUCCGUGCAGAAAGUUUUGGGGGAUGCCCUGGGGCGCCCUUGGUUGGGUUUACUUUGGUGGGGCUGAACAUAGAUUUUCCAGGCCAGCAAUUGCUCGAGUUGCCUAAAAGAAGACCCAGCGCUUAAACUGAAUUUGCAAAUCUAAGAACAUAAACUGCCUCUUAAAAAAAGAAGAAAAAAGGCCUAAGGGCUAGGACUCAGACUUAAUGAACCCAUAAUUCAGCCUUUCCUUCAUCUUGUGGCCCUACUGAGUUUUCUUUGUAAUAAAGUCCAGCAAAUUAA